rnacentral:rRNA from 1 species
UACAGAGGUCCCAAGCGUUGUUCGGAUUCAUUGGGCGUAAAGGGUGCGUAGGUGGCGUCGUAAGUCGGGUGUGAAAUCUCGGGGCUUAACUCCGAAACUGCAUUCGAUACUGCGGUGCUUGAGGACUGGAGAGGAGACUGGAAUUUACGGUGUAGCAGUGAAAUGCGCAGAUAUCGGGAGGAACACCAAUGGCGAAGGCAGCUUGCUGGGACGGUACUGACGCUGAGGCGCGAAAGCGUGGGGAGCAAACAGG